CAACUUSCACSUGGCAUWCYUYUUCAGUUAYAYGUCAAUGCUUUUAUAGUCUUGAUUGUAUUGUGGGUUUCCUGUGUUGCAUACCUCCAAUAAGGUAUCGUGAUGGUUUAUCAAAGUCCCUUUUUAUCGUGCGUUGCAUUUGUGACGCAUGAUGAACCUUGAAGUGAUCUCUAUGAACCAUUAAGUUGAUGCACAAGCAUUGACUUUGUGGACCAUUGAGCGUUGCUUGGUAUCCUGGAUGCGGAACAUGAUUUGGGCAUGGGGUCUAUUCGUAGAUCUUUUACUGUCCUUCUCGAGUGUUCUUUAAAACGACGGUUCAUGCGCGCCUAGGCUCGUACCUGCGUGAUGUUCUUUGUCGAAAAGGAAUGCUACCUGGUUGAUCCUGCCAGUAKUCAUAUGCUUGUCUCAAAGAUUA
rnacentral:misc_RNA from 1 species